GUAGGGAAUCUUCCACAAUGGGCGCAAGCCUGAUGGAGCGACGCCGCGUGAGUGAAGAAGGUCUCGGAUCGUAAAACUCUGUUGUUAGAGAAGAACAUGCAGGAGAGUAACUGUUCUUGUAUUGACGGUAUCUAACCAGAAAGCCACGGCUAACUACGUGCCAG
rnacentral:rRNA from 1 species